UUUUACUUUUAUUUUCACCUGCACAUAGAGAGAGGGAGGGGGAGAGGUGGGGGGUAAGAUUAAGAACUGGUAGGACUUAAAGGGCAGGAACAAGAUUUGAUAAUGCAGCAAGAUCGAGGGUUUUGUAGAGGCCGAGAUGAAUUAAUACUGCAGAGAGAACAAUCCCACCCCCCCUGUCCUCGCCCUUUUCCAUCCGUUCUCUCCCUUCAGUCUUUCCCCUCCCAUUUACUCCUCGGCUGCUGCUACCUGCUUCCUUUUGCUUAUUAUAGUCUCCCAAACCCGCCCCCCUCUUUCUCUCUCUCCAUACAACCAGAACUACUGCAUGCGUGCAGCCAACUUAAAUUCCCCUUUGAAUCUGUCUCCAUCCCGCCCCUUGCUGCCUCUCAUGACUUCAAAUGAUCUACCAUGCCCUUACCAACAAGAGAGAAAGCAUGAUUCUCGAUUACCAUGCAUCUUUUUUGCAUGGGUUUAACGAAGGGUUUCUUACUGAGAUUGUUGGCAUUCUGUCCACCUCCACAUGGCCUUACAACUUCGUCUCUGAUCUGUUCUUUUGAAAAGAAGAGAGAAAAACGAGAAGCCAUUGUUGGUGAGCCAAUGGAGGUGGGCAACCUGCCAAAUGAGCUCUCUCAGAAACCCUUUGUAAAACCCAUGUGAUCGUUUUCCUGGCGUGGAAGGGUGAAGCCUGAUCUAUCCUUCCUGCAGUCCCUCUCUGCCUUCAGAUCUUUUCACGGCAAAAGAUGAGGGAAUAUGUAAAGCUGCAGACAAAAAUGAUGAAGGGUUUGCAAGGUGACUCGGAAGCGCUGAGCAUCUCACGUUGAUGAGAUGGGGAGGUGAUAUUUUUUGUAAUGAUGCAGUUUUCAGAAAACCAACGUUGUUCUCGGUGCGUUUUUUUCCUUUUGCUUUCCUCCUUUUAGAGGCUUAUGGAUCAAAAACUGAAAAAAUGAACCUAGGGUUUCUAGGUAUGAACUCACCGUAUCUGCUGCUGUUGUUCAUUUCCUCUUCCUCUUUCGGAUUUGUACAUGCCUUCUACUAUGCAUCGGUUGUUCUAUGUGUAUAUGUGUGCUGCAAUCUGUGUCUCUGCGGCGGUUUGCUCGACGGCGAUGAUGAUGAUGAUGGGUAUGCUCCUGCUGAAAGAUAAGGUCUAGGAGAUAUAGCUGGGAGAUAACCCUACAAAUAAAUUAAUGAUGGUGCUGAAAUUUUGAAAUCUUCUUUGUUGUUGGGAACAAUGGUCGUGGUAAAGUGUGUCCGCCGAUGAUCAUGAGCAUGACCCAGGUGGAUUUCCAGCUAUGACUGUUAUUUUAUUGGUCUAAACUCUGAUAGCCAUUAAAGCUUGCAAAAGUUCGAGCAUGAGCAGCCAGUCCGGUGCUUCUUUACAGUAAUGAUUUUUUAUCUACUACUUCAUAUUACAUAAAAUACCGUUCUGCAAAUUGUUGUCUGAUGGGAAGGGAGAUCGAUGGUACUUCUAAAUUUUACUGCGAAGAGAAGAGAUGCAAAUUGUUGUUUGAUGGGAAGGAAGAUCGAUGAUGGUACUUCUAAAUUUCACUGCAAAGAGAAGAGAUGCGAGCUUUUUACUGCAUGUACUGCUAAAUGCCAAAGCUUACAACAUUCCUCCGGUGAAAAAUAGUUGGACAGGAAGAUGUAGUCCAUGUGGGAAAGAUUCACCCAUUGACCUCGAGCAUCACUUUGUUGUUAUGAUUCUUGUUGCUUUAUUCGAGUCGUUUUGUUCUUGAACCCAGAGUGGCACAGUUUCAACAGAGAUGUAAAUCAACAAAAACCGUUCUCUC